ACAUGAUCAUGGCCAUCGCGUACGAAGGUAUAGCAGAGGCAUUGAUCUCCACCCCCUAAGGGACAUGUGGCAUGCAGGGAGAUUGGAUGGGGAGAGAGACACACCUUCCCCAUCCUGUACCAUGCCAACAUGGGGGAUGGCUACGUGGCAAACCUGUCAUGUACGUGGGAGAUGGACACAUGUCAUGUGCAUUACUAGG
rnacentral:lncRNA from 1 species